ACAGUACAAACUGAGCAGGCGAUGCCCAUUCCGGGCAUGGGGUCGGGCCGCCUUUGCGGCAGCAGGUGUGAACGACGGCAUCUGUGGGACAGU
rnacentral:ncRNA from 1 species